rnacentral:rRNA from 1 species
UCUCCUACGGGAGGCAGCAGUGGGGAAUAUUGGACAAUGGGCGCAAGCCUGAUCCAGCAAUGCCGCGUGUGUGAAGAAGGCCUUCGGGUUGUAAAGCACUUUUAUCAGGAGCGAAAUACUACCGGCUAAUACCCGGUGGGGCUGACGGUACCUGAGGAAUAAGCACCGGCUAACUUCGUGCCAGCAGCCGCGGUAAUACGAAGGGUGCAAGCGUUAAUCGGAAUUACUGGGCGUAAAGCGUGCGUAGGCGGUUCUUUAAGUCUGCUGUGAAAUCCCCGGGCUCAACCUGGGAAUGGCAGUGGAUACUGGAGAGCUAGAGUGUGUCAGAGGAUGGUGGAAUUCCCGGUGUAGCGGUGAAAUGCGUAGAGAUCGGGAGGAACAUCAGUGGCGAAAGCGGCCAUCUGGGCCAACACUGACGCUGAGGCACGAAAGCGUGGGGAGCAAACAGGAUUAGAUACCCUGGUAGUCCAGCCGGGCAUCUUCUCUUCUUGAUGAAUCCUUCUCCUCCGCAAGCUCGCCGCUAUCUCGACGCAGACGUAAAA